GGUAGAAUCAACAUGUUCUCUCAUUGUUCUCCCGGCUCCCCGGGGAAGUGAGCUGGAGGCUGCUUCUUUCCCAGAGAUUGCCUUUCAACCAGAAGGAAGCUGAUCGAAGCAGAAUGCUUUUGUUUUUCUCUCCUCUGUUAAUGGGGUGUGUUCUGGGUUGGAGACAAGCGCUCGUCUGGGGUCCAUUGCUACAAUAUUUAAACAGUUAAAACAUCGUGAUUCGGAUUUGCUGAGCUCCUGUUCUUUCUCAUAGCAGGAGAAGGAACAUUAAGUAAACAGAUGUCCUAAUUAUGUGAGUGGGUGUGUUUCCCUGAUGCUUGGAAUCGGUAGGGUACAAUUACUAAUGAAUAUUCUUAUGAUGUAGAUGGUAAGCUUUAAUGUAUAUUUUAGGCAAACUUAGGGAAACCUGUACUUAGACUUUAACAAUCCCAGCAUGGAGGUGAGCACCAUCUUAAUCAUUGAUUCAUUUGAUGGCCGACAAAUCUUAGGUCUGCAUUCAGCCCUGCUGCCUGACAGCCAUACGCCUCAAGGAUCCAUUCAGUUCCUGAGAUUAAUUUCGCUCUCCAAGCGAUGUGAGGUUUUUUUUUUUUUUUUUUUUUUUUUUUUUUUGUCAAAAGAACAGUGGAGAAUUGCAACAAACCUGUAGAUUCAUUCCCGGCUUUCACAAAUGCGCGUGUCAUCCUAAGAUGUGCCCUGAACUUUUCCGUUCAUUUUGAAACGGGAAAGACAGGUAAUUCUCCGAUCCGGGCUGUGCUUUUGACCCACGAUGGUUCGUAAAAGGUCUCAGAUUUAGGGUGUGCCAUCAAAGGGAAGGUUCGAUACAUCUAGAACAAAGAGAAACAGGUCUCCGAGACAGGACUGCAGGUCAUAGCUGUUGAAGGGGGGAUGGAUGCUGGGCUUUUGCGUCUUCAGUUCGAAUUCUUAGAUUUUUAUGCUUUAAUUCCCAGGACUGAUAUAUCCGGUGAUGUCUCUUUAAAAUGAUUCCUUGCCCCCCCCAGUGUGAUGUAUGCUCAGUCAGCGGACGCCCAGGGAAUGAUUGGGUACAGUUGAGAGCAUGAAAGAUUGCAGCUCCUGCUUGAAUAUAUCGAGCAUUUCAAAAAAAAAAACGUUCAUAGCCUACUUUCUAUUUAUGAAAAAGGUUCCUCUGAGUAAGACAUACUUUAAAGGAGCUGCUGCUGGCAGACUCAGCUGAGGCAUGUCCCGGGUCAUGCCAGCAUUCUUGGGCAGCAGUUCAGUACCCUACAGAGUGAAGCUGUACAGACUGGUUUUAAGUCAACCCUCCCUUCCUGGACCUUCUUGGCUCCAUGGGGCCUGACGGCAUCGGAAAGGUGGGAGUGUGAUUUCCCCAGGGAGCAGGUCGCAGCUGCACAGCAGAAAUGAUUUGCUUAAUGCCUAGCCGAGCAGCGCUGUUCUCAAGGAAAACUGUCAGCUCUGCUCAUGUUUCUGAGCUAUAGCCUUAAGUGUCUGACAGGCUCCGCCACGAUUCUGAACACAAGAGUGUCACAGAGAGCCCAGACGGACACAUGAAACCUGACAGCACAAUCUAGGUGAAAAUGAGCAACAGCUUGGGGGUGGCUGUAAAUCACGUGGACUCUGCGGAUGUGAUUCUUUUUUCCCCCCCUUUCUUUCUAUACCUUGAACAUUUUUUUUUUUCUGGCGAGAUCUCAUGUCUCCCAUGAGGUGAUCCUGUGUGGAGCAGCACACACUGCUUUAGACCGCCUUGAGGCCUUCCCACUUCAGGCCACAGGGUCCUGCCUGCUGCCUCGAUGUUCUUGACCAAAGCCUCUGUUGCCUUCCUGCUUCCUUCUAAAUUCUGCGCUGAGGCUCAGCGGGCUCUAAAUUCCAGACCACCAGACUCCAGUCCUUCAAAAUACUGCACCUGUGUGCCAAUGUUUGUUUUUCAUUCCUGUGAAGGACAGUGGAGUUCUUGUCAGUAUUUCCCCCACCCCCAAGCGGAACCAUUUUCUCCUCGUGCCUGUCUUUGCCACCAAGAGAGCCUUAGUACUGAGUGGUUCAGUGUUAUCCCAUGCAUCCUUGAAGGUCAAAUGUCCCAUCCCUUGAUUCUCCUUGGUAUGCAGGCAGCAGGUUCUUGGGAAUGGUCCACCCCCUCUUCUGCUACUGCAUUCAAGUUAAGUCUUGAGCCCUGUUCUCCUAGGCAUACAGAUUCUCCGACGGUCACUUUAGGAGUCCCGUCACAGCUGCUUGGUAUGCAGUUGGCACUAAAUAAGUAAAUCAUCUCUAGCAGCUUAGAAGACCCACAAACCAAACAGCUUUUCAAUCAGGAAACCUCGUCUCCUAUUUUGCAGCUCAGGGGCUUUACAAUGAGCCGACAUGGCUAUUUAAAUCAGCAAACAUUUACAUUUUUUUUAACCGAACAUGCAUUGAUUUUUAAACUGGGUGGUUGAGAACGACAUGGAAAUAGACUUUUUAUUAUUUUGUUGAUGAUGAUCGGCUUUUAAAUCCCUGAGUAGUUUGGGAGGCUUCUGAGUGGCCCAAGUGACCUGCACUGCAGUAGUGGUGGGUGUGGCCACAUGCACCAUCGCUGAUGGGCCAUUCGACCCACCCUCUGUGGCAUUGCCCAACCUCCCCAGACCCUUUCAGUACUUCCUACUCAAGGAUGGAGUUACAUUGGCCUCGAAUUUUAUAUUAAACCCAUCUGUGUAUAGAAGUACAUGGCAAAAUGGCUGUGAAGAUUUUGUGCUGCUAUGGACUGUGUUCAGCUCAUCUGGCAAGCUUAGGGCAUUGGGAAUUACACUGGCUCAUGAGGUGUAUUUAACAGCGAGGAGGCAAGAUCAGUGUAUCGGAGCCAAUCAAUUAUUUCCGUUCUGCUCGGGGACAGAAAGACAAUUCUAUUCUCUAAUAACGCCUCUAUUCUGCUGACUUUGAAGAGAGAGAGAGAGAGAGAGAGAGAGAGAGAGAGAAAGAGAGAGAGAGAGAGAGAGAAUGUGUGUGUAUGUACACAUAUGUGCUGUUUACCAAAGAUCUUUAUCUCUCCUCAUUCUAGUAACGGGAAAAGAGUUGACUAAUACUCAGGAGGCCUGAGCGCUCAUCUACUCUUGCUUGUAACGGGACACAGAGUCUCGCAGGGAGAACAACCAGAUAGCACAGCAAUCAGAGAGGUUCGCAAAGCAAAAGAAAAGAUAAUCAACAGGAUCAUGUCUUUCUGCAGUGCCUGAAUGACGGCAGCUAAGUCAUCUUCACGGUGGGAUUUCAGGCAUGCCUGGGAGAGGAAAUGCCAGGCAAGCAUUCUCUCCACCUUACUGUUAGCACCAGCCUGGUUUCGUUCAACCAAACCACCACAGGGGAAUACACACAGUGACAUUUCAUGACCGUGCUUCCUGGGCAUUCCUAUAGUCUGCUGUGCAGGGUGACGUAACUGGAUUAGAUGAACUUUACCUACUCACGGUUCUCUCAGCUGGAAAUCUGAGGCUAGGGGCCAUCCAGUCAAAUUCUGGAUCUUACCAACCUGCAGACUUCUCAGGAUGCUCACUUGACCGCUUCCUAGCCUCUGUCCCUGGCUAGCUCUCUGUCUUCCUCUAUAAUAAGACCAGCAGUCCUGCUGGUUCCGGAUAUCACCUCAUGAUCGUGUUUAAUGACAGCCAUCUCUUAAGAGCUAUAUCUCUACAACUUGGGCGGUAAACAGGACAAAAUGCUGUCCAUGACAGCACCCAGAUGGAUGUAUGAUCAGGAUUCCAGCCUCAGGUGUGUGUCACAGGACACACAAUAAUGAUGGCGUUCCGUCUAUUCAUGUGCUUCACUGAGCAGACGUGGUGCGGGGUGGAGAUGAGGGCGGGUAUCAUGGGCGCCCAAGACGAGUGAAUACUGGUUGUCUGGUGCCAGAAAGGUGAGGGAGCAAAUUGUGCUUGGAGGAGGAGGUUAGAAAAGGAUAGAUGGAAAAGGAAAAGGACUAGUCUAGGUCAGUGUUAGGAAAUUACAUGUUUCCUAAGUGAAUGUGGUAAGAACCUUCCAGAGACAGUGCAAGACAAGGAGAGGCUUGGAAAGUCCUGGUGUCUUUAGGGACCUACGCCUUGGCUUAUAUGUUUGGGGGUAGGAUACCAGGGAUGGAUUGUGGCCAGGUAUGACAGUGCCAGAAAGAACACACAUGACUGCAAGUGUGUGUGUGUGUGUGUGUUUGUGUGUGUGCCUGGAUGCCAGAAUAUAAUGUUUGCAAGUUGGUCCUCUCCUUCAGCUGUGUAGGUUCUAGGAUUAAACUCAGGGUAGAGUGUAUCUUUACCUGCUAAGCCAUCUUGCCAGGCCACACUUUCGUUUUGUGGAGACAAGUUCUUCCACCGGCCUGUACCUUGCUUUGUUUGCUUUUGUUUUUAAUGUGGAUUCUUGGGAUGAAAUUUAGGCUGUGGUCUAAAAAUAUGUGAGCCGUUAUUUUGGUUAGAAACACCAACCAGGUCUGUGCUGUCUCAUCAUGUGUCACCUUGGCACACAAACCAGAGUUAUCUGAAAGAAGUGAACCUCAAUCGAGAGUAUGCCCUCUCCAGAUCCAGCUGUAGGGCAUUUUCUUAAUUAGUGAUCAAAGGGGGAGGGCCCACCCCAUUGUGGGUGGUGUCAUCCCUGGACUGGUGGUCCUGGGUUCUAUAAGAAAGCAGGUUGAGCAAACCAUGGGGAGCAAGCCAAUAAGCAACAUCCAUCCAUGGCCUCUGCAUCAGUUCCUGCCUCCAGGUUCCUGCUGUGUUUGAGUUCCUGAGUUCCUGCCCCUUACUUCCUUCCAUGAUGAAUAGUGAUCUUAAAGUGUAAGCCACACAAAUCGUUUUCUCCCCAACUUGCUUUUGGGUCAUGGGGUUUUAACAUAGCAAUAGACACCUUAACUAAGGCAAGAUCUGUCCUUUAGGUCAUGGCUCUGUUUCUUGAUCAUCCACAUUUCAUUAGAAUUGGUCCAUGCUGUCCACAGUCGGUGGUGACUUAGGGAUGGUCCUUUGCGUGUUGUAUUCAGUGAUUUUUGUGUCAGAUGGAGGAAAAGGAGGUAUAUAUUUACAGUUCUAUGAGCUAAUGAGGCGCAUUCCAGUGAGUGGGUAUAUUUUUUAUGGAACUUCAGAAAGGUAUUUUUCAUUUUUUUUUUUAGUUCAGUUACCUUUCCAUUCUAUGAAUGCCAUAUAAUUUGCUGUAUUUAUGCUAGUUUUUAGUGGCUCCCAUUAUCCCUUCCCUCGCUCUUUAUUUGCCCAACUGAAGCAGGCUAAGUACGUUAUCUGUGAAAGUCAUAUUCCUCUCUUCUCUGAUGAGGCUCAGUCAUGUGCUCAAAGGCGUAUGCAUGUUUGCAGGGAAAGCAGAGCGUGUCUGUGUCCGGUGAGCUUCCCAUGUUCUUAAUAGCGCUAGCAUUAUGGGGUUUCUGCUCCAGGCCUAUGGUUGUGUGUCUGGAAGGUUCUAUGCUGUUUACUGAGGGGGAGAGGAGGCCAGCGUGCCCUGAGAACAUCCACUGAGUAGUUAGUUGCAUUGAACUGUCAUUUCCAUCCCUGUGCUUGGGUAUUAUUCUCGACUCCUCGCCAGGCGAGUCACCUCUGAAAGGCUUUUGUUUGGUGAGAGUGGUGAUUUGAGAAGUGGCUCCCUGAGCGCAAUCACGGGCUCAGAGCUUUGCUAGGCUGUAGGGGCCAGCUCUCCAUCAUCCGCAGGAAGAGGCGGUACAUGCGCCGGAAGAGGCAUUCCAUCCACUAGAAGAGACGUUCCAGCCACCAGAAGAGCUGUUCCAGCCACCAGAAGAACUGUUCCAGCCACCGGAAGAGCUGUUCCAGCCACCGGAAGAACUGUUCCAGCCACCGGAAGAACUGUUCCCGCCACCGGAAAAACUGUUACAUUUGCCAGAAGAGUUCUCCAUCCACCGAAGAGCUGUUCAUGGCCCUUUUACUUACCCAUGUGCUUUCCUGAUGAGGAUUUUUGCUUUGAUAUUGCAGGCCACUUUUAAUUUUUUUCACUUCCUAGUACCCGUUGUUCAUAUUACCUCGACAAAUGCCAUUAGCUCCACAGUUAGUGAAGUGAAGAUGAUUCUGUGUCUUACAAGCCCACACCCGAGAAGCAGGCAUUCUCACUCCUUUCCCUCCUGUCUAAUUUAUAAUGGUAUCGUCUUGAACUUAACAUUUGAGUUUGUUUUGAUUUGAUCCUCAUCCCAUGUGGGGGUGGGGUGGGGUGAACCAAGUGGGAGAGGUCCCAUGUGCCAUACCAAUCAUGGAGGUCAAAGGGCACUUGGUAGGCCCCGUUCUAUCGUUUUGUAGAUUCCCAGAAUUAAACUCAGAUUUUCGGACAUAUACAACAAGCGCUUUCACCAGCAGAGCUCUCUUUCUGGGUUCAUAGGUUUCUAUAUUGUCUUUACCUGUAGUAAUUCACAGGCCUUAGUUGUUGUUAUGUUGGUUUUUUUGGUUUGGGGUUUUUUGUUUGUUUUUUUUACAAAAUUUUAUAAAAUAUUAAGCCCUCAGCAUAGUCACUACCUUUUCAAAAUCAAAAUUGAAGUGGUUUUGCCCCUCUGGAGAUUUAUUAUUAUUAUUAUUAUUAUUAUUAUUAUUAUUAAAAAAAACAACUUGGAGAGAUGGCUCAGCGGUUAAGAGCACUGACUGCUCUUCCAGAGGUCCUGAGUUCAAUUCUCAGCAACCACAUGAUGGCUCACAACCAUCUUUAAUGGGAUCCAAAGCCCUCUUCUGGUAUGUCUGAAGACAGCUACAGUGUAAUCAUAUAAAUAUAAUAAUAAAAUCUCAAAAAAAGAAAACAGAAGAAACUUUGUACAGAUUAUUUCAUAUGUAGAAGCUCAGGGUCAGAGAAUGUGUGUAGCUUUUAAAGUGCAACAAGGCCCUGGUGCAGUGCAGCCUCACAGGCCCUUCUCCACAUCUGGAAAAGCCAGAAGACAGAAUGGAAUUUCUUUUCCUUGAACUUGGUGGCAAAUUCUGACCUCACCUGAACCCAUUUGGUAGCAAAACUCAGUCUGACCUUACGUGAAGCUAUUUAUAGUCCCAUGUUUAUCCUACAUAGUGUGAAUACUUGUGUGUUUUCCUGUGGAGAUAUUUUGCUUAUGCGGCUCGAAGACGUGUCUGGGGACAGCCACACUGUCUGCAUGUACCCUCUAAAGAUCUGGAAAGGUCUGCACUCGGAGCUUACAGAUGCUACAGUGAGUGGACAGGUCAGUUGAGAAGAUUACCUGUAUUAUAAAAAGCUUGGCCUUUUUAAGAUAAAAAAGUAGUAAGAAAAACUAAAAUACUGUCUUGAGGUUCUUUUUUUUUUUUUUGGUUCUUUUUUUUCGGAGCUGGGGACCAAAUCCAGGGCCUUGCGCUUCCUAGGCAAGCACUCUACCACUGAGCUAAAUCCCCAGCCCCCUUGAGGUUCUUUUAUUAUUUGAAAAUAUUAUUGUUGGUUUCGUGUGUGUGUGUGUGUGUGCCCACACAUAUUAUUUGCAGGUACAUGCGUUGCACACCCUACACAUGUGGAGGUCAGAGGACAGCUUUUGAGAGUUGGUUUUUCUCCUCCAGCUUCUUUUGAAGCAGGGUCUCUCUUGUUUCUGCCAGUUCAUGCGCUCUAGGCCAGCUGGCCCACGACCUUCUGGAUGAUUCUCUGGUAACUGCCUCCCAUCUUUCCAUAAGAGUGCUGGCUUGUAGAAUGCCUCCUCAAUGACUUUUCCUGUGAGUUCUGGGGACCCUCCUUAGGCCAUCAGACUUGGACAGAGAUCAUUUGUACACACUGAGCCAUCUUCCCAACCCAGGGUUUGAGAUUCCUCCAUAUUUUGUUAUUCACUGCCAUCUCUCGAGGUUGUCCUAUAGCACUUGCUACAUAUUUCCUCAAGGAAAAAAAGAUGCAGACUUUAAGAGGAAGUUAUUGUUUGACUGAAUCCUUGGCCAUACUUGCCAAAAAAUUUAAUGUUAAUCAAAUGCAGGUUAAUUAGUUUUCUGUAAUGAUUGUACAUCAUGGCAUUUUUGUCAUGGUUUAGACGAAGUUCCCCGUUUUGAUUCUUUAGUUUUUAUUCUGUUUCUUUGGGUGAGACAUCAGUGAGAAGGUGACAUUCUGUGGUUCUGCUAACAAUGUCAAAUCUGGACAUCUCAUUCCAUUCCUUGCUUCUCUAUUAAUUUGCCAACGCAGCCAUUGCAACCCAGUGGGUUGGUCCUCCCACUUCAGAGGAAUAAUGUGAACAGUGCACACUGCUGUAAGUUGUGUUAUGUCCGUCUGACAGAUGCUAAUGGACAGGACCACCUUAGCAGUAUUCCAAAGGAAAGCAAAAUUCUGCCUCACCAGUGACCCUUAGCACAAGAGGCAUAUCUACCAUUAAGCUCAGAACACAUGUGAACAAGCGGCUGUGGUGGACGGCCUCCAUGCUUUACUUUCAACACAGAAAAGCUGUUUGUCUGCCAUUUCCACUGUGCAUGUCUUAAAUAAGGUCUCACAGUGAGAAGCUCUUUGGUAGGCCUAGUGCAUUGUUUGGUCCGCCUUUGUGCUAACCGCUCUCAACAAUUAUUCGUCUAGUAAAUUACUAUGCUAGUUAUAAGGAACACGUAGGGAGAAAGACAGGAAAUGAACAUACAAAUUAGACAGCUAAUGAUAAGCUAAUUUACAAAACUGAGGGUUGGGGGGGGUGGCUCAUUGGUGAAGUGUAGGUAGCACAAUCAAGAGGACCUGAGUUGAAUGCCCAGAACCUAUUUAACAACCUGGAUGUGGUUCUUAUGCUUGUAAUUUCAUCAUAGGGGAAAGGGUGACAACUGGGUCACAGGUUUUGCUGGUUAGCCUUUCUGGCCAUUGAGAGACCCUUUUUAUAAAAAAAAAUGGUGUGUGUGUGUGUGUGUGUGUGUGUGUGUGUGUGUGUAUAACACCUGAGGAGUAACAUCCAAGGUUGACCUCAGACCUACAUAUUCACAGUCCAUUGCAUAUUCACACAUAACACAUAUAUACCUGUACCCAUGUGCAUACACAUAAGACAGCAUCAACUGCUAAGAAGGAAACAAGAUUGGGGCUUGCAGAAGGGACAAUGUAUUGAGUUGUUAUAGCUUAAGGAAGACCUAACCGAGAAGGUGCUCUUAAAUGGUUGGCUGAACCACCGCCACCAGAGGAAUUCGGUCACUUGCCAACAGAUGACACGUCAAGAGGAAGGCAUUGCUUGAAAAGACUCUGGGAUAUUGGGGUUGGGGAUUUAGCUCAGUGGUAGAGCGCUUGCCUAGGAAGCGCAAGGCCCUGGGUUCGGUCCCCAGCUCCGAAAAAAAGAACCAAAAAAAAAAAAAAAAAGACUCUGGGAUAUUUGGUGCUGAGGAAGGAUAGCACUUGGCCUUAGUGACUCUCCCUGUUGGCGAGAACCUUGAGGAUUACUUCCUACUGUGAAAAAAUGAAUUUCUUCCUCUUGGGGUUUAAGCAGGAUCAUCAUGGUUUGGAAGGCAAAGACAUAUUUCUAGGAGUCAGUUGGGGAUGCCUGACACCUGAGUAGGAGAACGUCUUGUGAGCUUUUGAUGGACAUGUGGAUGGCGGGCCCUUAUCUUGGUGCGUGUGCGUCCUUCUUGUCUAUGGUUGGCCACCAUAGGCUAAGUACAGCAAGGACUUUCCUGCAGAAACACAUAGUCCUCAGCCCUCCAUUUGGCACUUAACUUUCUCUUGCUGUAUAGUCUACUCAGUAAGAUCAAACCACAAAUGCGUACAUACACUAGAAACUGAAACCCUGAGCUGAUGUUUAUUUGUGACUGUUUCCUCAAAGAGUGGAUUUAUAGCUUCUGUAAUUUUCAUGAGUGUCCCUGCUCAGGGCAUCUUGUUCAUAUUUAACACAAGCAUUUCGCUUGCCCUUAAUGAAAAAUGAAGCAACCGAAGCAAAUCAAAGUGAUGCUUUGAGAAGUAGGUUGGAUUCCACGUCCUUUGCCUGAGCGUGUCGUCGAAUCCCCACCCUCUUACUUGCCUGAUGCUAACUUCUUUAUUCUUUGUGCCCAGUGAUUUCGGCACUAGACAAUUGGCAGUUUGCAAAGUUGAAAGCUUUCUUGGCUCUUGCCACUUUCUCUUGGCCACUCCACUUUCCUGUAGAGAGGGCAGCAAAAACGCAGGCAUCGAUCUCCACGGUCAUCUGAAUAUUUGUGGGAAAGAUUUUAUGUGUAAUCACAGGUAGGGAAGUGAACCAAACAAGUGUAUUUAAAUCAAUAUUUCUCAAUAGCAUCAACGUUUUUUUCUGAAAAGCAGAAGCUCUGCGGUUCUGACUUACUAGUCCCCAUGCUACCCUUUUUUCAAAGAUGUUGGUUAGAACAGAGAUGGAGCGCCUCCUGCUACCAGCGGGGUUGUGUCUCUCAAUCUGUUGUUUUCCACAAAUGGGGAGGCGGAGGAAACAGCUUGGCUGCAGAUAUUUGAAGUUCCAUGUUCUGACCCAUUGAGCAAGGCUCACAUCUACAACUGUUCUCUGUGUCAUUAAGUUAGAAAAAAAAAAUUCAACAGGAUGUUUACGAAGCCGGAAGGGCAGUAGCAAGUUUUAGGACUCCAGCCAUUGGGACGUCUUGAGAGAUGGGACCGUUGAGAACUCCAGGCAUGUCAAUGUGUUUGAAAUAUACUGUCACCCUUCAUCAGCGCAUCAGUCCUUAACUGGGAAUUUUUCACUAUUUAGAGAAUUUGGCUGUUCGAGGGUAAUCUCUUGAACACAGCUAGGAAUAUGGUGUCCUGUGAUAUUGAGGUAAGAACUACAGAAUCUUAGUUACUUAGUUUCUGACAGAUUUCUUUUUUUUUUUCCUUUUUCUUUUUUUUGGAGCUGGGGACCGAAACCAGGGCCUUGCGUUUGCUAGGCAAGUGCUCUACCACUGAGCUAAAUCCCCAGCCCCUCUGACAGAUUUCUAUUCAGUAGCGUACCUGAUAACAAGGCUUUUGAUAUCAGAUAUUCUGUGUAAAUGUCUUAUAGGCUAAUUUAGUAAUUUUUGUUUGUCUGUCUUUGGAAAACAGACACAUGUACUGUACUGAUUAUAUUUAUCUGCUUAUUUUGAAGCUUUUCACCUUCAAGGCGAAGAUUUGUUGGAAAGCAUGGAAAGGGUUGGUUGUGCUGAAAAGAAAUUCUCUGAAUGUUGUGCUAGAUGGAGCAGAGGCUAGACUCACACGUGUGAGCUUUAAUUCUCGAGUCUCCAGGUAGUAACUGUUCAAGGACAGUCAAAUUACAGGAAUUUUCCAAGCCUGUGUUUCUGUGAAGUGAAGUUGCUUUUCUCUCCCUGGGGCCUUAAUGUCAAACUUCUCCCUUAGUUCUCAGCCAGAAGUCGGCAGGACAAAGGGUCGAUCUUGGCACUAGCAUUAGAAGCAUAUGUAGAAGGAAUGCAGAUUCGGGGGUACAGGUUUAACUUCUCAUCCCAAAUGAGACGCUUUUGUUUAUUUUUUGAGCCUUCCUACCAUUUUAUCCUUCUCCUGAGCAUGGGUGUGAUGUGCAUGUAUGCAUGUGAGUUUUUCUCCGUGUGUGGGUGCAUUUGUUUGUGCGUGCAUGUGAAGUCCUGAGGGUGGCAACAGGGGUUCUUCCUGAAUGGCUCUUCUACCAUAAUCUUUGAGGCAGGGUUUCUCAAUCAAACCCAGAGCUCAAAGAUCUAGUCUCACUGUCUGAGCGGAUCCCCUGCCUCUGCCUUUUGAGGCUUAGGAUUAUAGUCGGACAUCUACUCACCUUUCAUCUGAGUUCUCGAGAUCUCAAGUCUGGUUCUCUCACUUCUAAAGCACAUUUUUAGGUGCUGAACCAUCUCCUCGCCCCCACCUCUUUCCAUGUUAACAAGCUCCCUCAUCCUGCUUUCUUCGCAAAUCAGAAUGACUUGUUCCACUGUGGUAACGUUAAUUUUUCUCCGUUGGCUUCAUUCCUCCUCUACAAGAAAAUCAGAAAUUUGUCUUCCAAUCUCUUUAAAAAAAAAACAAUCUCGGGCUCAGCGUUUAAGAGCACUGACUGCUCUCUCAGAGGUCCUGAGUUCAAAUCCCAGCAUCCACAUGGUGGCUCACGACCAUCUGCGAUGAGAUCCGAUGCCCUCUCCUGGUGUGCCUGAGGACGGCUACAGUGUACAUGUAUAAAUAAAAUAAAUCAAUCUUAAAAAAAAAACUCUUUUAGUUGUUUUAGAAAACUGUGUACUUACAGUCUCUCUAGAGAAAAAUCUGCUUUGGGAACCCAUUUCUAAGACCCAUCGAGUUGUAAAUAAUCAUCAAAGUUGGCAGAGAGAUUAUUAGAUGUUUGCUUGACGUUAACGUCUGGUACUAUGUGUCUGGUGUAGAAUAAUCGGUAGGUUAGCCCUGGAUGUGAAUUUUACACUUCAGUGUUGCACACGCAAGCCUUCCCUCUCUGUACCGUAUUUAACUGGUCAGAAGGAAGGAAGGAUAACAAGGUAAGAUGCACUUCGACCUGGAGUUUCACCCGGGCUCUGGAGUCCCAGCGUGGAGAGGGAGGGCAGAGGAACCUGAGAUGGAAACCAGGCGCUGGGUAAUUCCCCACUGCCCUUUCUUUAUUUACAAAUCGUGUGACCUUGUGCCAACCCCAGGAAUACCUGGCACGGGCCCGGGUGCCUAUUUCAAACGGUUGAAGGAGGUACAGUUACUUUGUCACCAUUUGGGGACCGCGAGCUAAGAUCUGAGGGAACCUAACAGUCCCCAUUGAGUUUUCUUAGAUGACAUUGGACAGAAACCACAUUGUCUAACACCUCAAAUGUAAUGUAAAUGUAGCGCUGGGUCCUCUUGCCCCUUGCGGAUUUCAAGAGACAACGUUCUUCCAAAGAGAUUGAGAGUAAUAGAGUAAGAGGCGGGAUUUAAGUAGUUAUGGUAAGAGGCGGGAUUUAAGUAGUUAUGGUAAGAGGUGGGUUUUAAGAUUGCUAUGGUGUAGGUGAGAUUUAAGGUGUCAUGAUGCAGGUGGGAUUUAAGGCGUUCCAGUGUGCUUUUGGAUGGGAGUACUGAAGAAUAUUUCCAUCUGACGUCUCUGGUGUUGUAUUGUCUCUAACAGAUGUGCCGACACAUCUUAGAGGUUGGAUAUUUUUAUAAUCGAGGUGCAAAGAAAACAAGGGAAUAUUUGCUAAUCUUUCUACCUUUCAAGUAGAACGUCAGUUGUCAUUCUAUGAUUAUAUCUAUAAAGGACAUGAAGAAACAUCUUGGAAUUAAAAAUAUACGCCCUAAAAUAGUUAUACAAAGAACGCCCUAUUUAGUGAUGAAGAAAGUUGGGUCCUUUCAUGGAAGUCCUUGGUAUAAGCUACUUUUUGCUAUGACAAAAUUUCAGAGAACAAAGAUCAACCGAGGGAAGGGCUGGUUUAUCCUGCCUUGUGGUUUUAAGGGCUAUAGUCCAUCAUUGAGAGGUGGGGAGUGGUAAGGCAUGAGGCAAGAUGGCUGCUCCCAUCUUGUCCUUGGGCCAGAGGCAGAGACAUGAAUGCUUGUUCUUGCCAGCUCUCCUGUUCCUAGUUUUGUCUAGUCUGAGCAUCCCUACCUACAUUUUGAGGUGGGCUUUUCUUCCUCAGUUGCACUCUGGAGUCUAAGUCCAGUCCAGUUGGCAUGAAGGUCAGCCAUUGUAUCCCCUUGGGAACCAUAUGAGUGUUGUUUACAUCCAGUUCUAAGUUUCCCUUCUGACUUUUCUCAUCGUGACAAAUGGCAUAAGGUUUACUGUCAUCACUAUUUUAACCUGAACGAUUCUGGUACCUUCACUUUAUCUACAAAGUGUAGCUAAGACUGUCUAGUUAUAGCUACCGUUUCUCUAACACUCAUCCACAGCAGAGCCCAGUUUCCUUCAUCCCCAGGCUCUGGCCACCAGCACUGCAUUUCCUUUCUCCAUGGUGUUAGCCUUUCUGGAUACAUCAAGUGAGUAGAACCACAUGGUCUUGCAGUCCUGAGUUUGGCUUCUUGCCUUUGGGAUGUUUUGUCCUGGUUAUUUCUUGUUCAUUUGAGUAACUCUCCGCUGUAUCUACUGCAUAAGUAACCUACACUCCACCUACCUAGUUAUCCAUUGAUGCUAGGUGAGUCCUUUCUUCCCCCUGGCUAUUGUAAGUAGAGAAACAGUGGACGUUACUGAAUGGACUUUAUCAAACGCCUGUCUUCUCUCUCAAGUCAUUAUUCUCUGUAUGGCAUUGCUGGCUGUGUAAUAAUUCUAGGUUCAGGUACUUGAUGGCUGACAAUCUUUUCUUCUUCAACAGGCCUCUAUAGUGUGCUUUCUGCUAUGUUCGUGUUUUAGUAGCGUAUUACUCUUCCAGUCAUUUAAUAUUUUACUUUUUUUUUUAGAAGUUUGUCAGGUAAAAUAAGAAUCAUAAGCCAGUGUUUAUGAGUAUCGUAGAGGAGGGAAUGUGUGUGGGAAACGCAGAUACUAGUGCCACAUGAAUGGAGACAGGAACCCCUCCUGGAACGUUAGCAAACAGUACCUGAUAUACUCCAGAACAUCACAACAAGGCAAUAGACUCACUCCAACAGAAUGCCCGAGGAGGACUUUGUACUUGGUACACCAGUGCCAGACCUGAGAGGACCACUCUCAAUACAAACCAUUAAACAAUCUGGGUCUGAUAUCAUGACCAGUGGUCCAGGGAAGAGAAGCGGACAUCUGGUUGGAAGACAGAUGGCGAGCCUUGUCACAUCUGGCUUAAGACUUCUUCCAGAGAGAAAUAAUCAGAGGCUUGUGAGAGCCUAUGCAUGCAGGCAAGCAGUUACCUUUGCUGCCAGUGAAAGGCUCUCCUAGGGAAACCCUAGUGUUGGUUGUUUCUUAUUUACUAUGCGGGAUGAGAACAAGCCUUUUAGCAGGUCUACAAAGAGCUUUCCGAACGACCAGUAGUGUGAUUGACAGUUCCCAGUCCCUCCUUUGGGUCAUUCUUUUUGGAGUCCAAACCAGAUAAGUUACCUUCCUAGGAAUUUCCAUUAUAGGCUACUGAAUGUAACCGGGAGAAGGUUAACAUCCAAAUAGGUAAUCAUUAACUACCCUGCCAUGCGGGAGAUGCAGAUGAACAGAAAACAGUGUCAGAAACACAUUUGCUUGUGGAUUUGUCCUCUUUUCCUGGGACCCAAGGGGUGUCCCCGAGAUCUCAGCUUCCCAGACCUGAUGACUGGGGUAUUGUUUGUCUCCUUUCUUUUUUAAUGGUGCUGCAUCUCAUUAAACCUCAGUAGGUAAAAAAACGACUCCCUAGUCCCCCUGGAGGAAGGGAGUGUUCCUCCACGGAGAACUUGCUGGUUUGGCCGUGCCUUACAAGACAAAUUCAUUCAUUCAGGCCAGCCAUUCAAAACCAGUCUCAAUUUCAGAUAAAAAAAAAAAAACAAAAAACCAAAAAAAACAAUGUAGCUUUCCUCUUUGAGUGAUCUUUAACUUUUCAGUUUAUGUGUAGUCAUAAGCAGGAGGCUCCCUGGUUUAGAUUCCAGGAGUGUGUGUUUAAUUACAACAUAGACUUUGUACCCAAAUCUUAAGAGUCCUGCUUUAGAUGUGUUUGUUACAAAAACUUGAUAUAAUUUUCUGACUGUUGCUCUUUACUUUAUAGGAAUUUGGGGUUUUUUUUGUUUGUUUGUUUGUUUUGUUUUGUUUUGUUUUACUAAAAUAGUAUUUCUGAUGAAAGAAAUAGCCAACUGAAAAGUGGGUUUCUUGUUGGGAACCCCAAGGUGGAAGCUGUUUAUAUUUUCUAUAUUUUCACUUCAAAAUCAUUUCCAUUUCGAGUCAUGGUAGUGAGAUACCGUCACAUGUACUUUUUGUAAAGCAUGUCACAAUUCGGAAAAUUAUGGUUCUUAAAAAUAGUGUAACAAAUAAAUGGCAUGUCUUAGGAUUAGGAGAGCAUCUACUUAGGGAUGCAGAAAAAGCCUUCUCCCAUAUGCAUCUUGAAACAUUAAAAUUAGGUGUCUGAUAUGGCUGUUAUCUGUUGAGUGGAGUUUUUAUACACGGUCUUAGGGACUGAAGCAAAGCCUAGGCCACCGAGGCAAGGGCUCUACCAGUGAGUUAGGUCCCUUGCUCUCUGGUUUUCCUGAGACACGGUCUCACUGUGUAGCUCCUACUGGCCAUGCCUUUACUGUGCAACGCAACUGGCUUCAGACUUAGUCUUCCUGCCUCUGCCUACCUAUCCCAUGUUGAGGUUACAGGCAUGUACCACCACUCAAGUGUGCCUUUGGUUCGUACAUGGAGCUCAUGGUGUGUUUUGGCUUGUCAGAUGCUAGAAAAGGCAACCACUUUGAAGUGUGUGGACUCAAACGUGCCAUACCGUUGCAGUGUCUGGAAGCUGGCCUGCAGUAAGCAGAUAUCUCUGUGAACAGAUACUAAUAUCUGAGCUAGAGUUCAGUAGGCAAAGGGUUUGCCAGGCAAGCACAAACCCCAGAACCCCAUGGUGGCAUCAGCUUGUAAUCCUAGCUCUGGGAAGACAGAGACAAGAGACUCCCCAGAGGUCAGUGGCCAGCCAGCAUAUCCUACUUGGUGAGCUCCAGGCUAGUGAAACAUCCCAUCAUAAAUACAUGGUCGGCAGCACCUGAAGAAUGGCAGUGAAAGUUGCCCUCUGACCUCCCUGACUGCACAUGCAGACUUACAGAUUGCAUAGGUACACAGAUAUACUCAUGCAGAUACACACAGAUAUACACACAGGCACACAGAGAUACACAUAAAUGUACACAGAUACAUACACGGGCACAAAGAGAUACACACAAAUGCACACAGAUAAAUACACAGACACACAAAUAUGCACACAGAGAUACACACACACACAAAUGCACACAGAUACACACACAGACACACAGAUAUGCAUGCAGAGAUACACACUGAUAUACAUGUACAGACCCACAGAUACACACAAACACACAACACACGCAUGAUCCAAAGGGUGUAACUUUAAGGGUAAAACACAAUGGUGUCUCCUAUGUCGGCUCCUUUUGAAUUUAGGGAAAGGGCUCCAGUUACUGAAGUUUGAAAAGGAGAAGACAGAUGGAAAUACAAGGACUCACCCAAGACCCAUGAGACACUGGCUUAUAGAAUAGCGCCAAUGCAUGUGGGCUGCUGUUAAUUUGACAAGACUCUCUGCAGAAGGCACCACUUGAACUGCGUGGCAAAGCCGAUAGAAACACAGUAGAAGCGACAGCCAUUAUGUUCUAAAUGAUCAAUGCUGUUAGAUUUGAUAACUAUGCAAGGAAACUCUAGAUGCUGUGUUGGGACUGAUAAUUUUUGUUUUGUUUUGUUUUGUUGGAGGCAAGGUUCUCUGUGUAGCCCUGGCUGUCCUGGAACUCACUCUGUAGACUAGCUUGGCCUCCAGCUCAGAGACCUUCCUGUCUCUUUCUCCCAAGUGCUGGGAUUAAACGCCCAGUGACUAAUAAUAUUCUUAAAUAAGUACCUUAAGGCUGAUAAUAAGCCAAGAGAUAACCAACCAGCAGGGUUUCCUGACCUCUGAAUUCUGUCUUGUGUUUUGAGCUGAGUUUUGAGACGUUGUGAGUACACAUGGCUGACUGGAACAUCAGGCCUGAGCCUAGCCAGCAUCUGGAAUCUUUGCAGUGAAUAUGGAAUCCACCCAUCACUUGUCUGUCUGUCUCUGUCUGCCUGUCAGUUGGUCUGUCUAUGUCUUUCUAGCACCUAACAUUUGUCUGGCAAAUUGUUCUAUCUUUCAUCUAUUAACCCUUUUCUUAUCACCUAUCUACCUGUAUGUCUAUCAUCGGUCUUUUCAUGUUUUUCAACCCUUUUGAUUAUUGAAAUGAUAACUUCAGGUUUCACGUGUACCCUGUCUGCACACCCCUCACCAAGGCCCACUAUAAAAGUUAUUUGAUAGCUGGUGGCACACAUCACGUUCCUAAUGGCACUGAAUGCAUUUCAUGUAGUGAAAGGAAGAGAGAGAGAGAGAGAGAGAGAGAGAGAGAGAGAGGCCCCCAUGAGCAGUGCUUGAGGGGGUUCAGUAGCUUCACGGGGACACUGAAAGUUUGCAAUUCCAGAUCAGCGCAUGUCAGGAAGGUAUUGAUCUUAUUAAAUAUGCAAUAUGGAUAAAUGAGUUCAUUAAAGUGGAAAGCACAUUUAACACAUCCCAAAUCCCCUCCUCUGUGUUGGGUCGAGUCUGUGAGAUUUGCAUUCCUUAUUCCAUUUUAUUAUUAAGUACUAUUUUUUAAAAGACGGAAAUUCUGGCUUCAUUGCUUCACUAGUGACCAAGUCUGCACUCAGCCAGUGGCUGUGUGCCUGGCCCAGCCUUCCUACCGGUUAGAAUCCAAAGCUUACUUUUCUCUGGUCUCUUCACCAUUCCCUCAUUGAGGAAGUUUGCCAUUAGGUAGUGUAGUUAAAUUUCAACCCCUGUAAUUUGUCAGUGGGUACUACAAUGAGACAAAGGAGGCAGAAAUGCUUGCGUUAAUGGAUUUAGCAGAACAAUUCCAUUCUUACAUUUUAUGACCUCAUGCUUCAAAUAGCCAGGAUAUUACAACCAACUAUGUUCUUAACAAUACCCGAGAUGUCACCCGUUCGGAGCUCAUGAUCAUCGGAUGGUUGCAGUGAGUAAAUCUGCUGUGUUGCAAUGCCACAGCAGAUUCACCAGGUGCCCAAGAUCCUUCAGAAAAAAAACCAUAUGCUCGAAUUUGGUAAUUAUAUGGAUUACUUUAAAAACUAACGGUGUUUAUAUUUAUUGUUGUAAUGACGGCGUUUUGUUGAGACCUAGCAUAUGCACAGUUUAGUUAGUUGUGAAGUCUCAGCCGUGGAUAUGCGCAGUGCUCUGCAUUCCGUCUCAUUAAAUACUUAGUUGAGAGCGCAGGAAUUAACUUACAUUUUAUAAUUAUAGGAUAGGAGAUAUGAAAAGACUCAGAUUUAUAAUUGUAGAUUAGCAAGAAGGGAAUAUGAGAGUUGUAUAUUCUCAGUUCUCAGCAGAGUCCCUCCCACGUCUUGAUGUCUCCGAGGCUGGAGUGCAUCUAAAAAUCUAUACAUUCUCACCCUUACUGACAGAAGGCACAACGGCGGUGGCAGCUGAUGCUCUCGGCUUGUGUGCACACAGACUUGGGUGUCACUCCCAGUAGCGUGAUUGUCCUCUCUCAGAGCUUCAGACAACACUCUAAGGGCCCUUUGCAAGGAAGAUCUACAUACAGCUGCAAACAAUUCUGACGCCAGUUGUGUAUCCUGUCAAGAGGUGCGAUGUCAUCGCCCGUCUCGGUGGAUCAGAGCCAAAGCAGGGCUUGGCAGCAAGGUUAAGCAUUAAUGACCCGGAAGAGCAAGAUCCUGGGUGGGAUGGUCUAACAGACAACGCUGCCAGUCACUUCCCUUUAACUUUUCUGUUCAGUCGUGUGUAUGAAGGCCACGUGAUUAAAGUCUAUGUAUAAACCAGCCAAAUAAAAAAUUCAAAAUGAACAGAUUUGUUCUCUUGUUGUAGUGACAUCGUGAUGGUUUUAUUUUAAUUCUUUGUGUUAGUUCUAAAACGGUAUGCUGGGAGAGAAAUCCAUUGGAGAGGUGAUUAGGCACAGGACUGAGUGAUUGAGAUUUCAAAAUGAAAUUUAAAACUUGUGGCUUAUUAUUUUCGUGACUCCAAUGAGUAACUUAUUAGUAUUUAAUCUCAGCUGUAUGCUAUAGUAAUCCUGUACACACAUAUACACACAUGACUAUCACCACCACCACACACUUUUCUCUUUAUCAUGUAAAGAAAAUCCAUAUUGUAGUCUUGGUCAAAAUAUAUAGUUGAAUAGAUCAGAAAUGUUUAAGUUCUGUGCACAGAAAUUCCUUAAAGGGGACACUAUGAGACCUGUCCUAAACUGUGGACUUAUGCUGUAACCAUCACUCCCAAGUAGACACUGGAUUGUGUCUAUUUUUAGCACGGACACAAAAGGUGUACAAUCCAACAAAUGUGUAAAAAGAAAUCAAAUGCAGACCCCCCCCCCAAAAAUUGCCAGUUUUGAAAGUGCCAAAGAACCACAGAGUCAGGUCACUGCUCCUAAGACCCAGGGUUGUGUAACAUGUUCUGCUUUCUUGUUAGAGGUAAGAGACAUCUACCUGGUGUUGGGUUGAUACUGGAUAUCUUCUAUCUUCUCUUCAUCGUAUGUUAGAGUAGAUUUAGUAUUGGAGGCAAAUACACUUUGUCACAGAAUAAAAAGAGACAGCUAGAUAAACAUUAUAAAUUAUGCUUAAUGUUUUAGACUUUUGAAAUUCACAUCCUUUCUCUACUCUUUAAAACAUAUGAACACACACAAACACACACACAUGCACACACAUACAUGUACUCACACAUAAAUGUGCAUACACAGACAUGUAGAGACACAUUCAAAUGCACACAUACAUACAUAUACAUGUGCACAUACAUGCAUCCACACACCCCCACAGACACGCAUAUACUCGCAUAUAUACUCAAAUACACACACAUGCACACUCAUAUACACUGAUAUAUACUCAUUCUCAACACAAACACACAGACACACAUGCACACUCACAUACACUGACACAUACUCAUGCAUGCACACACACUCAAAGACAGAGACACACACAUGCAGGCUUACAUACACUGACACACUCUCACACACACACAUGCACACUCACAUACACUGACACAUACUCAUGCAUGCACACACUCUCAUGCACACACACUCAAAGACAGAGACACACACAUGCAGGCUUACAUACACUGACACACUCUCACAUACACACACACACAUGCACACUCACAUACACUGACACAUACUCAUGCAUGCACACACUCUCAUGCACACACACUCAAAGACAGAGACACACACAUGCAGGCUUACAUACACUGACACACACACACACACACACAUACACACACACAAAUACACAGGCACACAGCUUUUCUUUGAGUCCAGAUCUCAGUGUUUAGUUCAUGCUGCCCUUAAUCUCUCAAACCUCUUCUCUUUGUCUCCGAAGUCCCAGAGUUACAGUCACGAGCCACCAUGCCAUAUUUUAUUUCCUUUUCUCUUUCUAUGUCAAAAUGGCAUAGUAGCCUGAAAAAUUUUAGAGUUCAUUUAUCUGUAAGGGGAUUCCACACAAUAAUAAUGUCUUUUACAGGGAAGAAACCUCUUAAAAGCUAUUUAACUAUCUUCGUUAGCUCAGCUUAUUAAUCUAUACAGAUAUACGAUAUAGGUAUACUUACAUAAUACUUUGCCAUCCUAUGAUGAGAAUAAACAGAUUUGGUAUGCCUCCCACAUGGCUUGCUCUCAGCUCUGCAGGUAGGUGAUCUUGUUGUUCAUGGGAUGGUGGAUCACUGAAUAGGUUUGCUAUUUUGUGGAGGGAAUUCGCAAAAGCAAAGCUUCUUUAGAGAAAGUACUGUUGCUUAUUUCUCGUGAGUGAGGUCCCAUGUCCUCUACUCCUCCUCGGUCACCGGCUCCUUUACAGGAACCUGUGCAGUCAGCCCGGAGCAACACGCCCCCUAGCGUCCCAUUCGGAACCCACAGCUUUCACUGACAGCCCGGCUCACCUGGAGGCUCCUCGAAGAGCACCCAGCUCUUUAUCAAGGUGCCGUCUGGGGAUGCCUUACCUUACUGUUUUCUUUUUAUUUGUUUGUCUAAACGUCAGGCAUGAAAACAAUACGGAGAUUUGAUCUGGAAACUUUUUCCACAUAAAAUCCCCAUUCUCCUUAAACGAAUAAGAAAAGUGUUCACCCUCAACAGACUCCAACUUCAGUGCCAAAUUGGUGAGAAUUCUGGGACGAUUAAAAUAUUGUUUUUUGUGAAUGUAGUCGUGUAUUGAUGAGUUUAAAAUGGCCAUAAUAAGCAUUAAUUCAACUAAGUUUCUAAGUAUUAAGGAUACCAUUAGACUUUGCCCUGAUAUGGAUACAAGACAAGUGGCCUUUAUAUACACAUUAUUUGAAAAUAAAGGGACAGGGAGACAUAAUAUUGACAGUCUGGAAAAAUAGGAGUGAAAGAGUAAACCAUAAUAGGCGCUUCUCUCUGUCCUACGUAUGACAAUAUUUGGUUAGCUGGGUCACUGCAAGUGUCUCUUAUUUGUAACUGAGAUUUUCUUUCUCCUCUAAUUCCCUUUGGAAUUGCAAAUGCUCCUGGUGCUGGCUUUGAGGGACCAGACCGGGCUGCACAUCUGUGCUAUGUGAACAACUGAUACAGUGUAGCAAGGUGUGGAUUGAACAGAAGCAUAAAUUCUUUCAACCUCAAUUUUCUUAUCCAUAAAAAUAGGGGAUAAGGACAGGGGGAAUUGAUUAACCAGUGAGGUGUUCACAAAGCCUGAGGGCCCAAGUUUGAUUCCCUAGAGGCCAUGUUAAAAAAAAAAGCCAGACAUAGUGAUUCGUAUUUGGAAUAAUCACAGUACCAGCGAAGCAGAAAGAUGAAGAAAAACCUGGGGCUUGAUGUCCAACCAGCUUAACGUACAAGGUGGGUUCCUGACAAAUGAAAGUAUGUGCAGCCUGCCCCUGCCCCCCAGAUAAACGUCACAGGCAGGCACCUACAUGCGCUCACACACAGGCACAGGCACACACAUGAGCUCAUGUAAAAAAUGGUGGAUAAGAUGAUGUUCUGUUCAUAUCAAGAUUACUGCAAGACUACAAGGGCCCUAUAGCCAGUGGUGGGGGUGCAUGCACUGUGGGAGGCAGAGUCAGGCAGAUCUCUGUGAGUUCAAGUCCAGCCUGCUCUACAUAGCUAGUUCCAACAACACUCAGGGCUGUACAAAGAAACCCUGUCUAAAACAAAACAAAACAAAACCAAAACCAGAAAUGACCUCAUGACUGUAAAGUGCUUCCUGGUUGGAAGCUGUUGUAUGUUAGUAUGCCGGAGUUGGUUGUUUGUUUGGACACAAAUCUAGAUAUAUUUUGGAAGAGAAAUGUCAAUUGAGGAAUUGCUCCUGGGACAUUCUCUUGAUUGGUUAUUUAUGUGGGAGGUGCCAGGCCACUGUGUGCCAUGCCACCCUGACCUGACAGUUUUGAGUUUCACGAGAAAGCAAACUGAGCAAGCCAUGGAGAGCAAUUUAGCAAGCAGCAUCCCUCCAUGGCCUCUGCAUCAGCUCCUGCCUCCAGGGUCCUGCCCUGACUCCCCUCACUGAUGCAACCUGAGAAUCCUAAGCAGAUAAACCCUUUCCUCUCCAAGUGGCUUUUGGUCAUGGUGUUUUCCAUAGCAGUGAAAACCUAAUGAAGACCGUCAGUGUUGGUGUUAAGUUACUAAACUGAUCUUAUACUGUAGUAUUUUAAGAGUGAGCUGUACUCGAGAAAUGGAGUGGUAAAUGAUUACAACCGAUAGGAUUUAAUAUGCCCUACUUAACCAAAGUUUAUAAGUAAAGGGGGUCAAUAAAUAAAGACCUGGGCCUUUCAUGAACCGACUUAGAAUUUGACGGGAGGUAUACAAGAAUAGGCUUGGGAUUGAUUGAUUAUAUAAAGCAGGUUGGUAUUGAUUAAAAACAUGCAUUAUCAGCUGUUAUACAUAUUCUCACUGGAUGCUUUCAAAUGUGGACUUUGGGAAAUUUUUCUCUGGGGAAGAAAAAUGUGAACUUUCCCUCAAGGUGAAUGGCACUUAUGCAAUUUUAAAGGUGUUAGGUGUUCUCUCUGUAGAGCUUUGCAAUUUUAACUGGUCGCCUCCACUCAAAGAAAGCAAAGUGUGGUGCCUCUUUUUGUUUUCCUUUGUUUGGAAAUCAAAUAAAAGCUAGUGGCUUCACUCUUACUGCCUCUGCGUCCAAAAGCAGGCUUUUGUAAUAUUCUUUGAAGUUUUAAAACACAAGUGCUUGCUUUUGUGCUUCUUACAUAUUCCUAUACGUAAACUAUUUGUUUGUGAUGGGCUCUCUCUGUAUUGCUUAGACUGACUUUGAACUCCCAGCACCAAGCAAUCCCUUGCUUUGCCUUGAAGUUCCACAAGCCUCCUUGUAGGCAUUUUAAGUCUUUCUGUGUGUGUGUGUGUGUGUGUGUGUGUGUGUGUGUGUGUGUAUGUGUAUGUGUGAUGCAUGUAUGUGGUGUGUGUAAUACAUGCAUGUGGUAUGUGUAUGUGUGUGUAUAUGUGAUGCAUGCAUGAAGUAUGUGUGAUGCAUACAUGUGGUGUAUGUGUGUGAUGCAUGCAUGUGUGUGACACAUGUAUGUGGUAGGUAUGUGCAUGUGUGAUGCAUGCAUGUGAUAUGUGUAUGUGUGAUACAUGCAUGUAUGUGUGAUGCAUGCAUGUAGUAUGUGUAUGUGUGAUGCAUUCAUGUGGUUGGUGUGUGUGUGUGUGUGUGUGUGUGUGUGUGUGUGUGUAGAGGUCAGAGUUUGAUGUUGCCACUUCUUCCCCUGACUGGCCCUCAACUUUCCAUUUUGAGACAAGUCUCUUUCUGAACCUGAAUCUCGUCAUUCCCUCCAAAGCAGCUGACACAUCCCCCCACCCAUAUCUACCUGUUCCUGUCCCCUCCGCACUGCAGUAGAAUCCCUUGCCUGGCUUUAUUAUGGGUUUGGGAGAAUCUAAACUCAGCUCCCCAUGUUUCCCAGCAAGCACUUCACCUACAUAGAAAAGUUAUUUCUAUGACAACAGAAGCUAUAUAAAAAAUCCAGUAGGAAGCUUUAAAUGGGCAAUGAUGGAUAUUACUGUGGAUGUACUCUUUUACCAGCGUGAGCACUAGGCCAGGGAAAUGCAGUCACUGUCUAAAAUCAAGGCAUGACCUCUGAAAGACAGGGUGUGACUAUGGUCAAGAUCACUCGGACGGCGAGGGCGAAGAUAUUACCUGCUUCCUUCAGCGCUCAGUUCUGCAGGAGAUCAGAUGUUAAAUGCUUACCUCUGACUGUCUGAGGGAUUUAGUGGCUGUGUGCUAAUCAUUUUUUCUGAUUAACAGAUGCAAAGACCCAUAAACACUGGUCACAAACACUUAGACUUUUAAAAGUAUCCUAUACUAUGUAGCACCAUGUGUUAGCGUUGAAGACGAUCAAGGCAGAGGUAGAAAUGAUAGCGCUAUUGACCACAUGCUAGUUUGUUAUCCGUACACGUUGUUUUGGAUUUAAAAAUCUCAGUGUCAUCGUGGCGGGGAGCUGCCUCGUAAUAUUUCCAUGUUUGUAGCUGCCAUUUAGAAACACCUUGACAUUCCCUGUAAAGCUGUUAUCUUCUAAGAGAAGAAAUUGCUAACCUGUCAGAGCGGGGGUGGGAGUGGGGGUGUGGUGGGGUGGGGAGAGGUUCUUAAGGAUGACUGGGUCCUGGAGAAGAAUGGAAAGCAGGGUUUUAGCCCAGGUCUCAAGAAAAGGAAAGCAGGCUUCCCUCAGGGGUGGAAAGUGGAUGUGACUCAGUUGACAGACCCCUUAUCUGUGCACAAAGUCCUGGCUUCAGUCCCUCGAACCUCAUAAACUGGGCUCGCUGUUGCUGGACUAUUAUCUCAGCAGUCAGGAGGCAGCGGCAGGAGGACUUAAGUCCAAGUCCCUCACUGUGUAGCUAGCUGUGUAACAGCUUGGAAUAUGUGAGACCCCGUCUCAAAAAGAAACAAACAAAACAAAACACCCCCCCCAAAGCAAAAAACAACACCAAAAAAAACCCCCACAAAAAACAAACAAACAAAAAAACCCAACAAAACCAAAAGUAAAAACCAAAACAAACAAAAAACCCAAUACUUUUCAGAUUUCAUAAUCACCAUUCGUCCCUCUUCUUUAUGCCUCAGAAAUCUUCAUGGUGUUCUUAUUUCAAAUUUGCAUGGAAUGGUGGCACAGCCAGAUUGUCCCUUGCAUUGCUGGGUGGUGUCACAGAGAGCGCUGAAAUAUGACGGGGCUUUGUUCCCAAUGUUGUUGACUCACCGAGCGCUGCGUGGCUGUUUCUCUUGGUUCUGACUUUUUCUACACAGCGAUGCUUUGUUCUUCCAUGCAGCAUGGGCCAGAACGAGGACCCGUGUCUUUGAGCGCUGUGCACACUCAAAUCCAGGGCUCUAGCAAAUUCACACUGUGUAUGCAUAGCUGGCAACUCGUCUGUGGGGUGGUUUCUUGAUUACUGCUUUUGCUGAUGCUAUAAAAUACUCAGUAAAACUACUUCAGGAGGGAUAUAUUUUGGCUUACAGGUUUGAGGGUACAGUCUGUGAUGGUAGGAAAAACAUGGCGGACGGAGCAUCAGCCAUGUGGUCACAUGACAUUCAUAGUCAAGAGCCGAGAUCCGCAAACGCUGUUGCUCGCCUUGGUUUUCUUUUCAUGCAGUUCAGGUCUGCAGUCCACGGAAUGCUGCCACCCACAUAUGGACAGGGUCUUCCCAACUCUUGUUAACCCAAUCUAGAUCGACCUUACAGGCCCUGCCCAGAGAUCUUCGUUCUAGAUCCUCGAGUUGACAAGAUCACCCACCAUACAUCCUAGACAUGGGAAUCUGGGGGAAAGAUAGGGACGCUCAAAAAUCCCACCUUCUUGUCAGCCAUGCUAUACCCACAGUCCUCCCAUCAUGCAACGGUCUCCCGUCACUGUCAACGUAAACAAUCUAGUUUACUCCAGUCAUGUGUUUUGUUUUGUUUUUCUUCAGUUUUUCUGCGCAUUUUGAUUUAAUGAUUUAUUUUUGUUUCAUGUGCCUUGCUGUUUUGCCUGUAUAUAUGUCUGUUUGAGGGUAUCAGAUCGCCUGCAACUGGAGCUACAGACAGUUGUCAGCUGCCUUGUGGCUGCUAGGAACGGGGCCUCUGGAAGAGCAGCCAGUGCUCUUAACCGCUGAGCUGUCUCUCUAGCCCCAGAAUUUGAAGACAGCAUGGACCCUUGUGGGCUGUUUAAAACAGGUCGUUUUUCUGGAAGGUCACCUUACUGGCUAUUGGAUUUCCCUGAAAGCCAUGAUAUGGGCCGUGCUCACGUGGGGGUACGUAUAACCUUUGGGUUCUUGCCCUACAUUUUCCUGGCUGGAAUUGGGUCAGAUGCCAGUCUGCUGGUGGGUGGGCUCUCUGCCUGCUUACGUCAUAAACAGACCCUAGUGUUCACCUUCAGAAAGCUGAGAUUCCAAAGGCCGGAAUGAAUGAGCCACCUCUCUGUGGUCCUCCCCUCUGGUCAUCCACUUGAUUGACCCCGUCUGCUCCAAGGCCGCUCUUGGGAAGAAUGGAGGAGGGAGCAUUACAUCACGCUCAGUGUUGUGUUUUAUAAGAAAGAGAAAGAAGGAAACCAGGGAUAUGUUUGGUGGAGAGGCACGGUAUGGUGAGCUGGAAGUAGGUGCCUCUGUGGGGCCAUGCUGAGGUAUCCCUUCUCCCCGAGGGAGCAGCCACACAACGGUCUAUUUUCUUGUCUGCCGAUGCUUGCAGCUGGCUAGCAAGGCUAGUCCUGUCAGCACCCUCUGGGUUUGACUGAGAGACCCUGCCUCAAAGAAGGUAUAAAAACGUGAGGAAGAUUCCUGAUAUCAGCUCCUGGCACCCCCACUACCCUUAACACACCUCCAUAUGUGCAAACAGACAUACACAUUAAAGAAAAAGAAUCCACA